GUUGUUUCUAAUCAGGUACACAUCGAAAAUUAAAUAGAAACUAAGCACGUAGAAAGCAUUGUAAUUGCUUGUUUGGACGAGGGUUCGAAUCCCUCCGGCUCCACCA
rnacentral:tRNA from 1 species